CUGUGCACGUCACUCUUCCGCAUUUUAUUACAGUAUUCGAGUUUGAUUUAUGACAGCUUUUGAUGUGUGCCAUGGCCUUAUGGUUUUAUACGCGUUGCCUUCAGGACUUACCAAGGAUCACAGUUAAUGAUGUCCAUAAAAUAGUUAAACUGUGCAGCAAAGCUCCAUCAUGCAAACUGGAAAAGGAUUUUAAAAUGUACGUUUCCAGCUACCUCUGCAACUACGAGGAUUGUGCUAAAGGAUUCAGACCCAGUAAUACCGACACAUCACCACUGUUCAUGUGCAGCAGGAAGUGCCUUGUGCACCGUUUUUUUCCAGACAGCUCACUAUUUGCAGCUCGGACCAGCUGUUGUUCCUCCAGUUCACAGCUGUACUGAAACAGAAAAAAGGUUGCACAAACCAAAAACCAUGGGUGUGCAACCUGGACCCAUUGGUAACACUUUAUAUUAAGGUGCUGCUUAUUAAUGUUUCAUAACUAUAUAAUAUAUGCUUAAUGACUAUGUUAUAAAUCAUUAAUAAAGCAUUAUAUAUCGUUUAUAACCAUCCAAUAGCCAUAAACUAGAGUGAGACCGAUAGGAGCUGAGAGAAGCCAAAAAAAGGGGGCGGAUCUGAGCAAUACACAUAGCCCCGGCACCACAGAGAUAACACGGCCAUAAAAAAACAGGAUAGCUGCUUCCGCAU